UACAGAGACUGCAAGCGUUAUUCGGAUUCACUGGGCGUAAAGGGUGCGCAGGCGGUUGGGUGUGUCGGAUGUGAAAUCCCGAGGCUCAACCUCGGAACUGCGUCUGAAACUACUCGACUAGAGUACUGGAGAGGGUAACGGAAUUCACGGUGUAGCAGUGAAAUGCGUAGAUAUCGUGAGGAACACCAGAGGCGAAGGCGGUUACCUGGACAGUUACUGACGCUCAGGCACGAAAGCAUGGGGAGCAAAAGGG
rnacentral:rRNA from 1 species